UCCCUGGUGGUCCAGUGGCUAAGACUUUGCAUUCCCAAUGCAAUGGACCUGGCCUCAAUCCCUGGUCUGGGUA
rnacentral:tRNA from 1 species